rfam:Salmo salar isolate Sally breed double haploid chromosome ssa13, whole genome shotgun sequence.
UGCAUUCACUACUGUAAGUCACUCUGGAUAAGAGUGUCUGCUAAAUCACUAAAA